GCCAAUGUGGCAUGAUGGUUUAAGUGCUGGACUAUGACUCCAGGAGAGCAGGGUUCGAUUCCCAGCUCCGCCA